GAAAGAAAACAAUGCCUAUAAAGGCUACAUAAGCCUUUAUAGGCAUUGUUUUCAUUUGACUUGCUAUAAAACUACAGAUUAAACAAGUCAAACAUCGUAAGCACGGCUUUCAAAGCAAAUCCCGUUCAAAACAAAGAUACCGAUAGAAUAAGUACUAGACUUACAAAGAAUAAGCCUAGGGGUGAUUCGUUCAACUAAAGGCGGUGCUCCAGCAUGAUCACAAUCAAAUGACAAACAAGCUGUUUGAACAAAGGUGUUGUCAGCUAUAUUGAUUGUUGGGAGGUUACUCUUCAGCUUGUCCUUACAUCUGAGCCAUGGUCGACCAGCAUUCCUGCAGCCACUAUCAAGCUGGCUAUACAUGAGGACUUUGGGUAUUCUUUCGUCACUUAUUCUGACGAUAUGGCCAGCCAGCCCAGCGCAAUUGAGACUGCAUAAGGAGGCACUCAAUUCCACCAAUCUUACACUUGCUGAACAGGUCGGAUUUAGAAACUUUGUCUUUUAAUGAAUCACUGCAGUUUGUCCUGAGACAACCUUUGUGGAAGGUGUCUAGUUCCAAUCAAAACUUUUAUCAAAUCCAAAUAUAAACAAAUCCAACAUAAUGGUUUGGGACCGACACCAAAAUUAUGUGCAAACAUAUAGACCAUUCGCAAUAAAUUCUUUAUUUUA